UAUGGAAAGCAAACUCAAUAAAAGCCUAUGAACCUUGUCAGGUCCGGGAGGAAGCAGCAAUAAGUAGAUACUUUUAUGUGGGCGUUGUUUUCCAUAGAG
rnacentral:SRP_RNA from 4 species